rnacentral:misc_RNA from 1 species
CUUGUUUUAAAGGAGAACAGAUAAGCCAGUUUAACCUGAUUGACGCACCUUCUCGAAGCUCCCUAUUACAAAAACUAAAAUCCUCCGGCGUCGCGGCGUCACCGUCCUAUCAAGGAACGCCACCAUCGAAGCCCCUAGCCACCGUCGGAGUAGCGGUUUUGUGAGUGUGUUUGGUGUUGUUAGUUGGAUGCAAAUAAGAGAUGCCACCAAAGCAACAGUCAAAAGUCGAUAUAGCGAAGAAGCAGAAGAUCGUCGAAGACAAGACCUUCGGGCUCAAGAACAAAAACAAGAGCAAGAAUGUACAGAAAUAUGUACAGAGUCUCAAGCAAUCUGUACAGCCCAAACCCGACCCUACUAAGGUCGCAGCUAAGAAGAAGAAAGAGGAAGACAAGGCCAAAGAGAAGGAGCUGAACGAUUUGUUCAAGGUUGCUGUUAGCCAGCCCAAAGUUCCUAUUGGUGUUGAUCCCAAGUCUAUAUUGUGCGA